GUAAAUAUAGUUUAAACAAAACAUUAGACUGUGAAUCUAAAAACAGGUAGUAAACUAUCUUAUUUACC
rnacentral:tRNA from 1 species